GGAAAAUUCACGGUGAAUUUUUAUGGAAAAUAAUUUUAACAUAAAAAAUAAUGAUCAUUUUUUAAAACCCAUCCAAUAUCAAAUCAAUUGGUAUGCAUUGAUUGAUGGGGGUCAAAACAUCUAGACACGAAUCAUGUGGGAAUGGCUGGACAUACCGGAUGUUGUUACAAAGUUGCGCCUUUUUUGUAUUUUUCAACAUGCAUGGAUUUUCAUGUUAUACAUUUCGAUUAUGAUAACCAAAUCACAGCAGUCAAUAGUUUUAAGGUAAAGUGUGUAGAAAACACAUUGAAACCAGGAGGAAGAUGCACCGUACCAUUUGAAACAGAAAAUUUAACGGAAGACGGAAGAACAGCUAGAGUACAGAGAUAUCUUAUAUGAAGGCACCGUCAUUUGCCAGAAUCUUGUUAAGAAGAAAGCUGUGGAAUUAGCAAAAAAGGGGUAGAAAGAUCUUGACACCGGAUUGCCAUUGUUGAGCAUAAUCAACACUAGCUCCAGUGGGCCACCACUUGAUCCUGUGAAGUUAGCUGCUAUCAAAGAAUAUCUGCGCUACCACUGUGAUCAAAAUGGCUGGACAGAUUUGACAACAUCCGAAUUCAAUGCAACAAUAACAAACAAAAUAACAAAUUCAAGGAGGAUGGCAACCAAACACCCGGCCAAGCUUGAAUGUCACUAUGUGACAGGAAUUGCUGAGAAAUAGUGUACACAUCACUUUAUUCAUGUCGGUGCUUGGAUAACUCGAUCUGACACCAUCAAUGUUUUAUGGAAUUUAAUGCUCUUUGCAGGAAUGGAUUUUACAUCAUAGUGACAGUGUUCUUAAAUUGUUUCCAACAUAGUGAUGCUGAUGUGAAUGGAUUAAAAUUCAUACCUACCGUAAUACUACCGUUUGUGUAUUGAAUAUUUAAUGCAUGUGUAUAUCAUAUUAUACAACUUGAAGGAUAGGAAUUAACAAACUAUUAGGAUACAAUAUGUAAUUAUUUAGUUUAUAGGCAAAAUGUUGUCUUGCAUAACAAUGUUUUAUGGCAUUUGCUGCACAAGCAUGCAUGUUUAAAAAGUCAUGUUCAGAUGUGAAAUUGCUUUUAAUAAUUUUUACUUUUAAUAAUAUUACCAUGAUUAUAAUAGAAAAGGUUGUUUUUGAAAUGCAAUAAGAUUAGUUAGUAUUAUUAUUAUAUUAUCAAUAAAUAAUCCUGGAAACUGUACAAACUAAAAAACUAAAAUUCAUUUUCAUAUGCAUGUGUGGGUGGAGUCAACUCCUUAUAAGUAGAAAGGAAAACAGCUUGUAGCAGUUUCUUAACAGUUUUUAAGCAGUUCAUGUAUUGUCAUGUGUACAUGUGGGUGGAGUCAUUACCAUAUAAGUGGAAAAGGAAACUGCUUAUAGCAGUUGCUUAGCAGUUUUUAAGCAGUUCAUAUCCAUGUCAAUCUAUUCUAUAUAUACUGCUAAGAAACUGUCGAGGUACUGCCAAGAUACUGCUAAUGAACUGCCUAGCAACUGCUUAUAAGUUGGACUAUUUGGAAUAUUUGCGGAAUUUUGACGAAAUUGGGAACUUUGGUUUUAUGUUUCAUUUUCUCAUAUUACAUUCUAUUUAAAAUUCUUUGGUUUCAGUGCUAUAAGUCGGUCCAAGUAAUAGUAAAUAUUAAAAUUAUUGAUAUAUUUGCUCUAUCAGAUGAAUUAUGUAAUAUUUUCCUCAUGUUCCCAUGUUGUCAAAUUAUAAGCAUUUAUGUAAAACAUUUAUUUUGCAUCAUAUAAAUGGUCCAAGAAUAGAACUUACUGGGAACCAUUUCUUUUCUAUUUUUCUGUGAUGCAAUAUAAAUGGAAGAUUUCUGUUAACAAUUUUUCUUCCAUUUUUCUGUGAUGCAAUAUGAAUGGUGAACUCAUUUGCAUAAUUCGCAAAAACAAAUUGAAAUGAAAUUGAAAAUAAAUGGAAUAUAAAUGAUAAUAAAGUGAAUUAGAAUGAAAAA